AUGUUGUGGAUAUGUGCAGGUAUUGAACAUGUUCAAUACUACCACAUAUCCACAACAUGUUCAAUACCCCCACAUAUCCACAACACAACAUGUUCAAUACCCCCACAUCUCCACAACAUGUUCAAUACCCCCACAUCUCCACAACAUGUUCAAUACCUCCACAUACCCACAACAUGUUCAAUACCACCACAUAUCCACAACACAUGUUCAAUACCACCACAUAUCCACAUGUUCAAUACCACUACAUGUUCAAUACCACCACAUAUCCACAACACAACAUGUUUAAUACCACAACAUAUCCUCAACAUAUUCAAUACCACCACAUAUCCACAACACAACNNNNNNNNNNCAUACAGUGCCUUGCGAAUGUAUUCGGCCCCCUUGAACUUUGCGACCUUUUGCCACAUUUCAGGCUUCAAACAUAAAGAUAUAAAACUGUAUUUUUUUGUGAAGAAUCAACAACAAGUGGGACACAAUCAUGAAGUGGAACGACAUUUAUUGGAUAUUUCAAACUUUUUUAACAAAUCAAAAACUGAAAAAUUGGGCGUGCAAAAUUAUUCAGCCCCUUUACUUUCAGUGCAGCAAACUCUCUCCAGAAGUUCAGUGAGGAUUUCUGAAUGAUCCAAUGUUGACCUAAAUGACUAAUGAUGAUAAAUACAAUCCACCUGUGUGUAAUCAAGUCUCCGUAUAAAUGCACCUGCACUGUGAUAGUCUCAGAGGUCCG
rnacentral:lncRNA from 13 species